rnacentral:rRNA from 1 species
CCUACGGGAGGCAGCAGUCGAGAAUCAUUCACAAUGGGGGAAACCCUGAUGGUGCGACGCCGCGUGGGGGCAUGAAGGUCUUCGGAUUGUAAACCCCUGUCAUGUGGGAGCAAAUUAAAAAGAUAGUACCACAAGAGGAAGAGACGGCUAACUCUGUGCCAGCAGCCGCGGUAAUACAGAGGUCUCAAGCGUUGUUCGGAAUCACUGGGCGUAAAGCGUGCGUAGGCUGUUGCGUAAGUCGUGUGUGAAAGGCGCGGGCUCAACCCGCGGACGGCACAUGAUACUGCGAGACUAGAGUAAUGGAGGGGGAACCGGAAUUCGCGGUGUAGCAGUGAAAUGCGGAGAUAUCGAGAGGAACACUAGUGGCGAAGGCGGGUUCCUGGACAUUAACUGACGCGGAGGCACGAAGGCCAGGGGAGCGAAAGGGAUUAGAUACCCGGGUAGUC